UACUGCAUUUUUUCUUACACAUGUGUUUUUCUUUUUGAAAACUUUGCUUUGGUAGGCCUUCUAUAUGGGGCCUGCCAGAGAUUAAACUCAACCAAAUUUUAUUUAAUGUCAACCGAUUAUUUAAUAGUCAAAACUUUCAACAACGGAUCUCUUGGUUCUCGCAUCGAUGAAGAACGCAGCGAAAUGCGAUAAGUAAUAUGAAUUGCAGAUAUUCGUGAAUCAUCGAAUCUUUGAACGCACAUUGCGCCCUUUGGUAUUCCAAAGGGCAUGCCUGUUUGAGCGUCAUUUCUCCCUCAAACCCUCGGGUUUGGUGUUGAGCGAUACGCUGGGUUUGCUUGAAAGAAAGGCGGAGUAUAAACUAAUGGAUAGGUUUUUUCCACUCAUUGGUACAAACUCCAAAACUUCUUCCAAAUUCGACCUCAAAUCAGGUAGGACUACCCGCUGAACUUAAGCAUAUCAAUAAGGGGAGG
rnacentral:rRNA from 1 species